ensembl:lncRNA
GAGAGAGAGAGAGAGAGAGAGAGCGAGAAUCACUGAGCUCUGUUCAUUAACCUCAUCUCACUGUGCACCCCUGUACAUACACCUCCUCAAUCUUGGCAGACACAGCAUGAGCUCUAGUGGAUAGUGUGAGCAGGAGUAGGUGUGUAUACGUGUGUGUCUGUGUGUGAGAGCUUUUUAUUUUUUUCCCUUCUUUUCCUGUGUUUGUGUGCAGUGUUGUUUAUAUGUUUGAUGUUUGUUUUCUGUUUUAAUGUUUUGCUGUGUUUGUCCCUAUAUCUGCUGGUGCUCUUGUGAGGCGGGUUUCCCCAGACCUUGAUCCACCAUGCAUGAUGUACAGUAUCUCAUAAAAUGGUCCGUUUGGCCUGCUCUUGGUGGCCCGGGGGCACUGAAUAAAGCACAGCAGAAAGAGGAGGCCGGAGCAGAACCGCAGGGCGCCAUUGUUGCUCUGCUCACACUGCAAGCUAAGCGGGAGAUGGCAGGACUGCAGGGGUCAAAUAAAACCGCACAAACACUCCAGAGCUGCUGUGGUCGUGGACUAAAAGUGGACUUUUUCUCUUUUUCAGGCUGAUUGCCAUGACCAAAUUAUGUUACAGUAUUGCUAAUGUAUUUAAAUCUGGUACAUCUUAAAUCAGCCAAAUAAUAUAACGUAUACCCAAAGCUAAUGUUUUUAUGUGCACUUUUUUAAAGAUGGAGUACACAAUAUUCUCUCUCGCUCUGUCUAUUUUUGCACGGCUUAGUAUUUUGUUACUUUUUGCCAUAUAGUCCCCUCCGAAACUAUUGGAACAGCAAGGCCAAUGCGCUUGUUUUUAUGCAGUUAUUGCAAGCAAUGGAUAUGCAACCAAAUAUGAAGUUUAAUUUACUUCAAGACUUAUCGGUUCUUAUACUUUUGCUCCCCUAAAAAUUGGGUGGUCUGAUACAAAAGGUUCUCUGUUUUAUGUUGUUUAACACAUCUGGAUGUAAAUACCAGGAAAUAAAAGCUGAAAUCCCAAACUAUCGUUUUUUUUCCUCGUCUCAUCUUUUGAUCUCAGAACCAAAUGUCUUUGGUGUACAGCACCAAAUGACUUGGGCUUGCCGUUCCAAUAGUUGUGGAGAGGACUGUAUGUCUUUGAUAUCCACUUUGUAUUUAUGUGCAAAUUAGAAAUGUAAAUUGUAAUGUAAAUUGGCAGAUUUUCUGUGUGUUUGGAAAUCUUUUAAAUAAAUUUUUAAAAAUUAUUAUAUAACUUGUUCAAGGCUUUAGUUGUUUCACGUAUAAUACCCAGGAUUUCUAAUUAUCAGACUACUACAAAUAUGUCAGGUUUUGAGGAAAAAGAUGUAGACUGAAGAGUUAAAUCCAUCAGUGACACGGGUGAUUUUAUCUUUUUUUUUUUUUUUUUUUAAUAUACAAAAUUCUUCUUUCUGAAAUCAUGCAUAAAGGGCCUUUAAAGUCUCAUUCACUCCACAACAACUUAAAUAUUUGGUUUCUAGGAAACUGCGGUCUUAAAAAAAAAUAUCCGAAGGCCGGUUCAAUGGAUAGUUAAAAGUUCUUAGUUUCCUAACAUGGUUCUUCUUGAAAGCCAUACUGACAGUGAAACAUUUAGUCGUAGGUUCUACAUAGAACAUUUAAAUGGUAUAAAACAAACAGAUGAAAAAUUUGAGAAAUAUUAGAAUGAGAGAAUCAGUAUAGGCUCCCUGUUUAGUGCCUGACAGUAAAACCCGAUAAGGAGCUGAACUUUAUUCAAACAUGCUAAUGUGGGUUAUAAAGGAAUGCAUGUAAAUUAAACAUCAUGUAAAAUGAAAAAGUUGUUUGUCUGAAAUAUCUUCAAUUUACUGUACAGCAUUUCAGCAUGACGUUGUAGCUACUCUAGUUCAGUGCCCUAUUGCCCCCCAAGUAGUGGCAGGUUGAUCGGAUGAUUAUUUCUUUGAGAGAA